CCGAGUUUACAACUCCCAAACCCAAUGUGAACGUUACCAAACUGUUGCCUCGGCGGGAUUCUCAAGCCCCGGGUGCGUCGCAGCCCCGGACCAAGGCGCCCGCCGGAGGACCAACCAAAACUCUUUUUGUAUACCCCCUCGCGGGUUUUUUAUAAUCUGAGCCUUCUCGGCGCCUCUCGUAGGCGUUUCGAAAAUGAAUCA
rnacentral:misc_RNA from 1 species